GGGUUCNNAACCCUCGCCUGGNAAGGACUAGGGAUAACUCCUGUGAAAAACGGGGGCUAAUACCGGAUGGUUGUUUGAACCGCANGGUUCAAACAUAAAAGGUGGCUUCGGCUACCACUUACAGAUGGACCCGCGGCGCAUUAGCUAGUUGGUGAGGUAACGGCUCACCAAGGCAACGAUGCGUAGCCGACCUGAGAGGGUGAUCGGCCACACUGGGACUGAGACACGGCCCAGACUCCUACGGGAGGCAGCAGUAGGGAAUCUUCCGCAAUGGACGAAAGUCUGACGGAGCAACGCCGCGUGAGUGAUGAAGGUUUUCGGAUCGUANAGCUCUGUUGUUAGGGAAGAACAAGUACCGUUCGAAUAGGGCGGUACCUUGACGGUACCUAACCAGAAAGCCACGGCUAACUACGUGCCAGCAGCCGCGGUAAUACGUAGGUGGCAAGCGUUGUCCGGAAUUAUUGGGCGUAAAGGGCUCGCAGGCGGUUUCUUAAGUCUGAUGUGAAAGCCCCCGGCUCAACCGGGGAGGGUCAUUGGAAACUGGGGAACUUGAGUGCAGAAGAGGAGAGUGGAAUUCCACGUGUAGCGGUGAAAUGCGUAUAGAUGUGGAGGAACACCAGUGGCGAAGGCGACUCUCUGGUCUGUAACUGACGCUGAGGAGCGAAAGCGUGGGGAGCGAUCANGAUUAGAUACCCUGGUAGUUCACGCCGUAAACGAUUAGUGCUAAGUUGUUAGGGGGUUUCCGCCCCUUAUUGCUGCAGCUUACGAAUUAAGNACUNCGCCCUGUGAAGUAUGGU
rnacentral:rRNA from 1 species